AAACAAUGUGACUAGAUGGGGGUCCACGUACGACAUGAUUUCCAGAUUUGUUGAGCAGCAUACUGCAGUGGAAGCUACUCUCAUGGGUGACAGAAGUACCUGGCACCUUGUGCUGAAGGGGUCAUAAAUUCCUACUCUUAAGGACACAUGUAAGAUAGAGGUCUUCACGGGUCCAAAAAUUUGUGCCCGAACCCAAAGAGACCUGGAAAUGUACUACCUGGACCUGAACCGGACCUGUCUAUUAUUUGAAAGCUUGGACCUGUACCCAUGCAGAACCGAGCAAUGCCAGACCCGGAUCCGAACCGGACCCGUCUAUUAUUUGAAAAUUGGGACCCGGAGCCGGCUGUGAGACACAGACCUGUUCGACACCGAUUUCACAGCUGAUUGCUAUUAACAAGUUAAUUUACAAUUGUGAAAACAAAACUUUGUGUCUUACCUAAUGUAACAUUUAGUAGCCUUCUCCCCUGUGCCUGGCCAUGAUACAUAUAAUCUAUCCUCUUUGCCAAGAAAGUUGGUAAAAUACAUCCAGGAUUUCUGUGAUUCCUCUCUUGCUGAUUGAAACAGCAUAGUUAAUCCACUCGUUAUUUCAGAUUCAAAAGUCCACUUGCUGUCACGGUGACGGAUGACAAACGCAACUUGUUUAGAAUCAGCUUUGCAGUUUUUUUGAAUCUCGCAUAAGAUAACUGACUGUGUGCCCUUUUGCUGUAUCACAUUCUCCUCCCUGAGGCCUGUCCUUCAGCACCUGACUGAAUCCAUCCUGGCAGAAGAGGAUAAUGACAGCAGCUUGGUGAGUUGCAUGAAACGUGACAUCCACAAGGACUUACAAGAGCAGUAUGAAUAUUUGGAUAUGGCUACAGUGAUGAACAUGGCCUGUAUACUGGACCCGCGGUUCCAGUUGAACUUCAUGGAAGAGUCUGACUCGAUUCCUGCAAUCAAAAGACAGCUAGAGCAGCAGGUCACACAGAAGUCUUCUGCCAAUUAAGGUAGCUCUCGUUCUCUCUCUCACAGGAGUCUUCUGCCAGAGGAGAAUGUGAAGAUGAGGGGACCAGUGUCUCUAGCCCUGAGCCCUCAAAGGCUUGCUUGGUAUUCUCAAAAUGAUAACAAUGAGAAAACAGCAGGAGAAGGAACAAUCAGCAGACAUGGUGAAACAAACAACAGUCCUAGAAAUGUCUACAUACACAUCCAUGCCCACUAUUCCUGUGGUUAAAGACCCAUUGCAAUGUUGGGAAGCUAAUGAGGAGUUUCCAAGGUUGGCAAAACUGGCACAGAAAGUCCUUUGUAUUCCUGCCACCAGUGUUGCAUCAGAAAGUCUUUUCAGUUCUUCUGGGAAAAUUCAGACAGUGUUUCACUUCAGCUUGAAAUCUAAUAAACUAAACAUGCUCGUCUUCCUUCAUAAAAAUUUGUCAUAGGCAGAGAAUGUGAAAAAUGGAAAGAGGAAAAAUUAUGUAAGGACUUGGUCAGUGGACAUUAAAUCACAGUAUCAGAGUGGUUAGUUGUCAUCCUGUUGUCUCACACACAAACUCUCUGUCCCCUGCUCCCUGCAAGUGAUUUUGUUUCAGUUGACAUUGUAUUGAUGGUAGAUGUUAGGCCUUGUGGAUCUUUUGUUUAUCAGUUCAUCUGGUUACCAUUAAGUGUAAUUGUUCUUUUUGUAUGCUUUUGUACUGUUAUGGUUACAAACUGUCUCUCCACCUCCCUACACUCAUAUUUUGAUUGUAAUUCAUUGGCCAAAAAAAGAAAA